rnacentral:lncRNA from 1 species
AAGCUCCUAAUUCAUUGACUGGAAGUUAAGUAAACUUCGUUUUAAAUGUACUGACUGAUUAGAUAAUGUGUCUAUAUUGCAGAACAACUUGAUACAGGCUAAAACAAUCUACUUUGUAUCUUUGCUUACAAACCACUACCAAUGCACAAAUGUGAGGCAAUGCUUCCAGUUUGUGUCAUUGAGUUCGACAUUUUGGAGUGCAUAGUGAUGAUCACAUGUUACGUCUGGCCAGGCAGGGCAAGGAUUUCCUCCUGGAAGUGUCUGGCAGGAAAGGGUGUGAUGGUGCUUCAGUGGAAGGCUGGAGUCCUGUCUGAGGAACUGAUGCAAACGGCGACCUGCAGAGGUAAAAGCAUUGUGAACAAGGGCCCCCGGAGAGGCCUUCUGACAAUGGAUCAAAAUGAGACCCCAGACAAUGGACCCCCAGGUCCCUGACAAUGUUCCAGGCCUUGUCCAGAUCCAGAUGCUUGUCCCGUCCUGGGCUGGCCGGACGGAGUGAGAAAACGUGUAUGGUUUGAUUACUUGGACCUUGUGUUUGUUUGAGCCAAGGUUACGGCCCACCUGGAUGUAAAAACGCCCAGUCAGACAGACGGGUUAAACUCUCACUCUGCUUUUAUCUCACACGGACAUCUGUUGCUGUGAGUCUCCCAGAUGUUUCCUGCCCGGCUGGGCUGCUGGUGUAUGGUAGUGGUGGUAGUAGAGCACUGGGCCCAACCCUGCUCACUCUCCUGUUCUCCUGGCCCUUUCAUGCUGAUAGUAUUUUGGCAACUUGACUGAACAAUUCCAAAAUAUCAUCAUGCGGAGGACGUUGUAAUUUUUGUAGUUAAUAUGACUAGCAUGUCGGCUCUUCCAUGAGGACAAACAGGAGUGAUGUCAUUUUUCAUUGUGAAGUGUUCUUAUCCAGAUACAUUAUGUAAUUGUACUAAGAACCAGUGUGUCAAGUUGUCAACCACACUGCGAAGACUUAGCUAAAACAAAAUGAAUCAGGAAUUAGGAUUGCUAAUCUGGCAGGUUCUGUAUAUCAGUGUAGGCCUACGUGACAACCUCCACACCACUCUCUCCUUUAUAAAGGCCUUUGUUUUGGUUUAUGGACAUAACUUGGAGAAGCGCCAAAGUCACCUUUGCUCUAAGUACCCUUCCAUACUGGAAGGUAAGGGAUCAUUCAGCCAUUAUAUUUAAUAUGCUCAGACAGAGAUGUGUAUCUGCUCCUCAACCUGUUGGUAUCAACAGGAGUUUAGACUAGUACACACUACCAUUAUUAGAAUGAUUCAUUAUAUCACAUCUUCAUCUGUUUUUAAGUGUCUUACCUUGGGUAAACUAAUUUAUAGAAGAGUAGGUGUGUACAUUCAUCCACCCAAUGUAAGAUAUCUGUCACGCCCUGGCCUUAGUAUUCUGUGUUUUCGUUAGUAUUUUGGUGAGGCCAGGGUGUGACAUGGGGAUUUAUGUGGUUUGUUUUGUCUGGGGUUGUUUGUAGGUAUGGGAUUGUGGUUAGAGUAGUACUCUAGUUAAGUCUAUGGUUGCCUAGAGUGGUUCUCAAUCAGAGGCAGGUGUUUAUCGUUGUCUCUGAUUGGGAACCAUAUUUAGGCAGCCAUAUUCUUUAGGUGUCUUGUGGGUGAUUGUUCCUGUCUUUGUGUUUGUGGCACCAGAUAGGACUGUUUUGGUUUUUUCACGUUUCUUGUUUUGUAGAUUGUUGUACUUUCAUCUCUAUUAAAGAUGUACAAAACUAACCACGCUGCAUUUUGGUCCGCCUCUCUUUCCCCAGAAGAAAACCGUUACAAUAUCCCUGUCACUGCAAUAUU